UCUCCGCUUGCGCGGGCAGUCUUUUUAGAGUCCCCACCUUUACCUGAUGGCAACUAGUGAUGGGGGUUGCGCUCGUUGCGGGACUUAACCCAACACCUCACGGCACGAGCUGACGACAGCCAUGCAGCACCUAGUUUCGUGUCAUUGCUGACGGACAUGUUUCCACAUCCUUCACUAACUUUCAAGCCCUGGUAAGGUUCCUCGCGUAUCAUCGAAUUAAACCACAUGCUCCUCCGCUUGUGCGGGCCCCCGUCAAUUCCUUUGAGUUUCAGUCUUGCGACCGUACUCCCCAGGCGGAGUGCUUAAUGUGUUGACUUCGGCACAGCAGGGGUCGAUACCCGCUACACCAAGCACUCAUCGUUUACGGCGUGGACUAC
rnacentral:misc_RNA from 1 species